rnacentral:rRNA from 1 species
AUUGAACGCUGGCGGCAGGCCUAACACAUGCAAGUCGAGCGGAUGAGUGGAGCUUGCUCCAUGAUCCAGCGGCGGACGGGUGAGUAAUGCCUAGGAAUCUGCCUGGUAGUGGGGGACAACGUUUCGAAAGGAACGCUAAUACCGCAUACGUCCUACGGGAGAAAGUGGGGGAUCUUCGGACCUCACGCUAUCAGAUGAGCCUAGGUCGGAUUAGCUAGUUGGUGAGGUAAAGGCUCACCAAGGCGACGAUCCGUAACUGGUCUGAGAGGAUGAUCAGUCACACUGGAACUGAGACACGGUCCAGACUCCGAGGGGAGGCAGCAGUGGGGAAUAUUGGACAAUGGGCGAAAGCCUGAUCCAGCCAUGCCGCGUGUGUGAAGAAGGUCUUCGGAUUGUAAAGCACUUUAAGUUGGGAGGAAAAGCUUCCGAUUAAUACUCGGGAGUCAUGACGGUACCGGAAGAAUAAGCACCGGCUAACUUCGUGCCAGCAGCCGCCGUAACAC